UAACGCGUGGAUAACCUGCCGUAUACCGGGGGAUAACACUUAGAAAUAGGUGCUAAUACCGCAUAAGCGCACGGCUCCGCAUGGGGCAGUGUGAAAAACUCCGGUGGUAUACGAUGGAUCCGCGUCUGAUUAGCUAGUUGGCGGGGUAACGGCCCACCAAGGCAGCGAUCAGUAGCCGGCCUGAGAGGGUGGACGGCCACAUUGGGACUGAGACACGGCCCAAACUCCUACGGGAGGCAGCAGUGGGGAAUAUUGCACAAUGGGGGAAACCCUGAUGCAGCGAUGCCGCGUGAGUGAAGAAGUAUCUCGGUACGUAAAGCUCUAUCAGCAGGGAAGAAAAUGACGGUACCUGACCAAGAAGCCCCGGCUAACUACGUGCCAGCAGCCGCGGUAAUACGUAGGGGGCAAGCGUUAUCCGGAUUUACUGGGUGUAAAGGGAGCGUAGACGGCAGCACAAGUCUGGAGUGAAAUCCCGGGGCUUAACCCCGGAACUGCUUUGGAAACUGUGCGGCUGGAGUGCAGGAGGGGUAAGCGGAAUUCCUAGUGUAGCGGUGAAAUGCGUAGAUAUUAGGAGGAACACCGGUGGCGAAGGCGGCUUACUGGACUGUAACUGACGUUGAGGCUCGAAAGCGUGGGGAGCAAACAGGAUUAGAUACCCUGGUAGU
rnacentral:rRNA from 1 species